AAUUUCGGGUAUGGUCAGGACUGGAGGAGUGUGCUCAUAGCGAACAUUGGGGAGUUUUGGAGCGCAAUCAAGUUGCUUUUGGCUUGUGUCUGUGGCCACCACAUUCUUGAAGAUCUCAGCUAGCUGAAAUGAAUAAAAACCGAAAAGCUUAUAUCAAAAAGAUACGUAUCCGAAACCUUCAAGCUAAGUCCAGUCUCACAAUCGUCACACAUUUGUUUUUGUUUGAAUGUAUGAAUGGAAUAAGUCAAUAAAUGACCAAAUUGCUCCAACAAUAACAAAUAAAACUAAGCAAAAUAAUCGAAUGAUACGAAAAAAGAGGAAUAGUUUCUUAUCAUUAGGCAAUUUAGACAGCAAAUUGCCCAUUCACGAAAAAGGACACCAUCACUUUCCGGAACCAAUAAAUUAAUAUUGGGAAUUUGGGAUGUUGGAAGAGAAACUUACGGAUCGGGCAGCCUGGCCGCUACCCGUGCCGACGUCCCAUGCAAGGUCGUGGCCGGCAGCCUUGGAAGCAAUGAACUGAAACAGCUUUUCUGGGUAACCUGGCCGAGCCAUAGCGUACUGCUUUGAUUGUUUGAUGAACAGAUCCGCCAUGUCUCUCUUUUCCUCGCAAAGUUUGGUACCAGCUGAAUUAAGAAAUUGGAGAUAAUAUGAGAUGAGAAGGUCACCACGUAUUAUAUAGUUUAUAUACUACGAUCUUCAAUUUGGGUUAUACCUGGGGAAGGAAAUGGACCAAUGGUAGUGAGAUUGGCGUGGCCCAAUUGGGAAUCAACAUCUCAUCGCGCAGUUGUAUUUUGACCGAGGAGUAGAGUUUCGAAUGCUAUUCCUCUGCACUUCAGGAAGCGUCAGUAUCAGGGAAUGGAAUUUCAAUUAGGACACUCGGUAACUUCCCAGCAAAACAUAUAGCACAUAAUCUAAUGUUAUCAGGUUCUCUUCGGUCUACUAAUCGAGUGACAAUAUAUAAUUAAAAGUGUUCAACUAAACAAUUAUGUUGAGUGACAAACUGACAAUAGAAGUUAUUAUAAACGAAGCCUCAAUUGUUGUUGACUAUAAAAUAUAAAUGACUAGAGUUAUUGUGACAAGAAAAUGCCUCGAUAUUCAGCCAGAAAAUGCUAGGGCCCAUCAUUUUUAGUGACAAUGAGUUUUUUCUUUGUUCACUUUUGGGGCUCUCUUUAAUCAAAAUAUGUUUAUGGGCUUUGCAAAAUUUGAAUUUUAUCAGAUAUUGAGCCUUACUAAACAAGGCAUUAUCUCAACCUGAGACCUAACAGUGCUGCUGAUUGCGGGGCUGUAUGAACUCCAUGUAUAAUAAUCAUUGUAUAUAUUUAGUCUACAAAUAUAUGGAGCCCAUCUAAAAUCAUAUGUCAAUGUAUUGAUAAACUGUAAAUUUCCGUUGACGUUAGAUAAAUAGAUAACAUAUAUUACUUCACAAGACUAAACAAGUUUAGGGGUUAAACCAACAUAACAUGCACUGGAAGUCUACUAGUCUAGAACAGCUUGCUUCCAUAAGAAAAGACAGAAAGAUGCUUGAGUUCUGAUAGGCUCCUUCCCAGCUGCAAAGCCACCUUCAUUUCAAGCACUUGCCCAUUCUCCCUUCUCCCAACUUCUUUUUCUCUUAAAUUUGCUUCUAUGGUCUCUUGUAUGAGCCUAAAGAAACCAGCAUUGCUUCUAUACAUUUCAACCACCAUUCCAACUUGACCCCCAUGCUCUAUUGUGUUCACCACACUUGCCAAAGCUCCCCCAAUGACUCCUACCAUCCCGCUCCAAACUCCAUAAAUACUAGAACCCAAAAAAGCAGAUCCCAAAGCUGCAAGCCCUGUUAAAAGAGGGCCAGAAAUGGCUAGAAUUCUGUUAAUUUUCAAGGCUACCUCGGUCAACCUCAGGUACUCCUCGUCGGCUAAGCUGCUUCUGUUGCGGCCACCAUAUUGCAGGCUCCACAGUUUUGGGAAAUUUCUUAAGAGCAACUCCAACCAUGGAGUCAAAAGCCAAAAUGGCUCCCCCAGUCAAAAUCCAUCAUCUCCAACAAUAGCCAAGAUAGAGUCGUAUUGGCUUUUGAGCGAAAAUGGGAGUCAAAAUGACUACACAUUGUAGAACGAAAGCCAUAUGUGGUGAGACAUGAAUUAAGAUGGGCCACAGCAGCAUGUGCUAAAUUUAUGAAAUGACUUUGGUUUUUGAUGAAAGAUAGUUGGAGAUGCAAAAUAUGAAUGAAUAGUUGGAUAUUUGACACUAGGGGAGCCAAAUUUUGCAAAUGACUUUGGCUUUUGACUCCAUUGUUGGAGAUGCUCUAACAGAUCUAUAAGCGGAUAAAUCAGGUGGAACGUGAUUUUAAUAUCAGGUCAAUUAUUCGAGAUCAGAUUAUCCCCCAUGUAGUUUCAUGGUUUACAGGGGAGGCUAUUGAGAGAGAUGACUCGUCAGAUGAUGAAGACCGAUACCUUGGACAUGAAGCUCAAUUUGAUGAUGAAGACGAUGAUGAUUAUGAAGAUCUUGAUGAUGGAUUAGACUCUGAGGAUGAAGAAGACAUGGAAAAUUACAAUUAUUAUCAAGUGAAAGAUGAAAAUAUAGAUUUAAUUUGAAAGCUGAGAGUGCAUAUUUGGUAUAUGCUGAGUAGUUUGUUGGCAGUUUUAGGUUUUAUUAGAAUGUUUUGAAAUGCCCAUGUAUGUAUCAUGAUGUGCAUGUACGCUUGGAACUUGGCCGAAAUUUAGCUCCCUAUCUCAGAAAUUGUAUUACAAACCCUAAUUCUUCUCCAAUAAUCGAACUUGCAU